UAAUCAAUAUGUAAAGAAGAGUUGCGCUAACAACUCUCCCUAUGACAGCACCGUUUAAAGAACGGUGACCGCUAACUGUAUAUCUUAAAA
rnacentral:sRNA from 1 species